GUCAUCCGGAUCGAGGACAGUGUAUGGUGGGCAGUUUGACUGGGGCGGUCUCCUCCUAAAGAGUAACGGAGGAGUACGAAGGUGCGCUCAGACCGGUCGGAAAUCGGUCGUAGAGUAUAAAGGCAAAGCGCGCUUGACUGCGAGACAGACACGUCGAGCAGGUACGAAAGUAGGUCUUAGUGAUCCGGUGGUUCUGUAUGGAAGGGCCAUCGCUCAACGGAUAAAAGGUACUCCGGGGAUAACAGGCUGAU
rnacentral:rRNA from 1 species